rnacentral:rRNA from 1 species
AAAGAUUAAGCCAUGCAUGUCUAAGUAUAAGCAAUCUAUACGGUGAAACUGCGAAUGGCUCAUUAAAUCAGUUAUCGUUUAUUUGAUAGUACCUUACUACUUGGAUAACCGUGGUAAUUCUAGAGCUAAUACAUGCUAAAAACCUCGACUUCGGAAGGGGUGUAUUUAUUAGAUAAAAAACCAAUGCCCUCCGGGGCUCCUUGGUGAUUCAUAAUAACUUAACGAAUCGCAUGGCCUUGUGCCGGCGAUGGUUCAUUCAAAUUUCUGCCCUAUCAACUUUCGAUGGUAUGGUCUUGGCUUACCAUGGUUU